CCCAGUAAACGGCGGCCGUAACUAUAACGGUCCUAAGGUAGCGAAAUUCCUUGUCGGGCAAGUUCCGACCUGCACGAAUGGCAUAAUGAUGGCCACACUGUCUCCUCCUGAGACUCAGUGAAGUUGAAAUGUUUGUGAUGAUGCAAUCUCCCCGCGGCUAGACGGAAAGACCCCAUGAACCUUUACUGCAGCUUUGCAUUGGACUUUGAACCGAUCUGUGUAGGAUAGGUGGGAGGCAGUGAAGCUAGGACGCCAGUCUUAGCGGAGCCAACCUUGAAAUACCACCCUGAUUUGUUUGAGGUUCUAACCUAGGAGCGUAAUCCGCUUCGGGGACCGUGCAUGGUAGGCAGUUUGACUGGGGCGGUCUCCUCCUAAAGGGUAACGGAGGAGUGCGAAGGUACGCUAGGUACGGUCGGAAAUCGUGCUGAUAGUGCAAUGGCAAAAGCGUGCUUGACUGCGAGACCGACAAGUCGAGCAGAUACGAAAGUAGGUCAUAGUGAUCCGGUGGCUCUGCAUGGAAGGGCCAUCGCUCAACGGAUAAAAGGUACUCUGGGGAUAACAGGCUGAUACCGCCCAAGAGUUCAUAUCGACGGCGGUGUUUGGCACCUCGAUGUCGGCUCAUCUCAUCCUGGGGCUGUAGCCGGUCCCAAGGGUAUGGCUGUUCGCCAUUUAAAGAGGUACGUGAGCUGGGUUUAAAACGUCGUGAGACAGUUUUGUCCCUAUCUGCCGUGGGCGUUGGAAGAUUGACGGGGGCUGCUCCUAGUACGAGAGGACCGGAGUGGACUCACCUCUGGUGUACCGGUUGUCACGCCAGUGGCAUCGCCGGGUAGCUAUGUGGGGAAAGGAUAACCGCUGAAAGCAUCUAAGCGGGAAACCUGCCUGAAGAUAAGUCUUCCUGGAGGCUUUGACCUCCCUGAAGAGUCGUUCGAGACCAGGACGUUGAUAGGUUGGAUGUGCAAGCGCUGUGAGGCGUUGAGCUGACCAAUACUAAUUGCUCGUGAAGCUUGAUCCU
rnacentral:rRNA from 1 species